UACGUAGGGACCGAGCGUUGUCCGGAAUCAUUGGGCGUAAAGAGCGUGUAGGCGGCCACUUAAGUCCUGCGUGAAAUCCUGCGGCUCAACCGCAGGCGGUCGUGGGAAACUGGGUGGCUAGAGUGCGGGAGAGGAGAGUGGAAUUCCUGGUGUAGCGGUGGAAUGCGCAGAUAUCAGGAAGAACACCCGUGGCGAAGGCGGCUCUCUGGAACGCAACUGACGCUGAGGCGCGAAAGCUAGGGGAGCAAACGGG
rnacentral:rRNA from 1 species